rnacentral:lncRNA from 1 species
AUGCUGCAAUGGUUACAGGAUGAACAUCUGCUUCUCAGACAGACCAAGUAUCCAACCUGGGCCCAUCCUGAAUUUCUUAUGUUCUCAAAAUCCAAAUUCAUUAGCACUGCUCAAAAUCCUCUUUCACGUUCCUGCCUUGCUGUUUGUGAUGUGAAUCAUGAGAUGUUCAGAAGUUGCAUUUGUUGUUUGAUGGUUUUACAUCAUGGGUGUAAUAGUGCAUCUGCUGAGUCAGCAGUUCUUUCUGUAUAUGUGUGUGUGUGUGUGUUUGUUUGUUUGUUUAUUACUCCACUUCCAGCAAGUCCUUGUUCCCCAGUUCCUGUUGACAACCAGGGAACAAGCACAAGUCAACUGAGUAAAUGUACAACUCGAAGGCUGGGGUCACAAGCUGGAUUUGGAAGAAGCAACUUUCUUGCAGAGUGACUGGAAUAUGAAUACUGUCCCAAGGUUUAUUCCUAAAUCUGUUGGAAACGAUGGAAAUGAUCCUAUUGACUCCAACAAAGUCUGCUUUCUGCUGGAUUAAGGCAGAUGUUUGUACAUCAGAUUUGCUGUCCCACUAACGAAAUGGGGAAUUUUAUAAACAUAUCAGGGAAG